AGCUUGCUUCUUUGCUGACGAGUGGCGGACGGGUGAGUAAUGUCUGGGAAACUGCCUGAUGGAGGGGGAUAACUACUGGAAACGGUAGCUAAUACCGCAUAACGUCGCAAGACCAAAGAGGGGGACCUUCGGGCCUCUUGCCAUCGGAUGUGCCCAGAUGGGAUUAGCUAGUAGGUGGGGUAACGGCUCACCUAGGCGACGAUCCCUAGCUGGUCUGAGAGGAUGACCAGCCACACUGGAACUGAGACACGGUCCAGACUCCUACGGGAGGCAGCAGUGGGGAAUAUUGCACAAUGGGCGCAAGCCUGAUGCAGCCAUGCCGCGUGUAUGAAGAAGGCCUUCGGGUUGUAAAGUACUUUCAGCGGGGAGGAAGGGAGUAAAGUUAAUACCUUUGCUCAUUGACGUUACCCGCAGAAGAAGCACCGGCUAACUCCGUGCCAGCAGCCGCGGUAAUACGGAGGGUGCAAGCGUUAAUCGGAAUUACUGGGCGUAAAGCGCACGCAGGCGGUUUGUUAAGUCAGAUGUGAAAUCCCCGGGCUCAACCUGGGAACUGCAUCUGAUACUGGCAAGCUUGAGUCUCGUAGAGGGGGGUAGAAUUCCAGGUGUAGCGGUGAAAUGCGUAGAGAUCUGGAGGAAUACCGGUGGCGAAGGCGGCCCCCUGGACGAAGACUGACGCUCAGGUG
rnacentral:rRNA from 1 species